rnacentral:rRNA from 1 species
UACGUAGGGCGCAAGCGUUGUCCGGAAUUAUUGGGCGUAAAGAGCUCGUAGGCGGCACAGCAAGUCGGGAGUGAAAGCCCGGGGCUCAACCCCGGAACUGCUUUCGAAACUGCUGAGCUAGAGUACAGAAGGGGCAACCGGAAUUCCCAGUGUAGCGGUGAAAUGCGUAGAUAUUGGGAAGAACACCCGAGGCGAAGGCGGGUUGCUGGGCUGAUACUGACGCUGAGGCGCGAAAGCCAGGGGAGCAAACGGG